rnacentral:lncRNA from 7 species
GGUCCAAAGAAGAAAGUCGCUCGGAGCGUCACGGAUAAAGCAGCGGAUGGACUUCGCUUUCAAUCCGUGCAAAUACCAUCACCUUUUUUGGAGGAAAAAACCUCCGCCGGUGCUACUUCGCGCAAAACUCAAGGGGCAGACGUCAUCACCGCCUUCAGCAACCUCUAUUACAGACAGCUGCCAACUGCAGAUGAAUGCUUUGGCUAUGCCUCCCUCCUUCCAGCCGAAGAAGCUCUUGGACGCUCUCCAACUCAGCUCUAUGGCUUUGCACAAGGCUGCAGAAGAGCAGAGCAGUGCCAUGCGUGGGGAAAUGUUCUUUCCGCCUCACACCACGGGCUUUGGGCUGAUACCCAGUGUCUGGGAGGACGUGGUGACGGAUCUCCUUCCUAAUCCACUGUAGCAUUAAUGCAAACAGCAACGGAACAUCUUUCAUUCACUUGACUUGUUUGGAAAUCUUUGAGGGUGGCUCAUGAGGAAUGUGGUGGCCUGGCUGUAUCCUCCCUUCAUUGAUGCUUUUCUCAGCCUCCCCUUUACAUACUGACAAGCCGCUGUCAGGUCUCCUUGGAGCUUUCUCUUCUCCAGGCUGAACAGCCCCAGCUCUCUCAGCCUGUCCUCUUAGAGGAGAUGUUCCACCAAAUGCUGAGGUGAUGCUAGCCUGAUGCUGGUUUUUAACAUCAGCUCUGGACUGGCUGGACAACAUUAAAUAUCUCCUUCCUAACUCCAUGACACAUUUCUUCAUCUAUGGGUUUUUAAUGUGACCUACUUUGUGAACUGUUUUCCAAAGUUAUGGUAAAAAGUAUGAUUGUACAACAGAAGUAUUACAAAAACCAUGGCAUGUAAGCUGGUUAUUGAUAUGCCUCUCAUAUCAAUAGGAAGGUCUCUCUGAUGGCUAGGGAACAACUCAUUUGGUGCUUGUAGGGUGCAGACUGGCUGCUUAUUUUGUUACUGUUGACUAACAUUCCCUUUGCCAUGUCAAGGCUUCGGCCUGAAUUUUUUUUAAGUCCUCUCUUCUAGACUGAGAAAUGCAUCACCAAGAAAGCACUAACAGGUCGCACUUCUGCACUGAAGGUAUCACUGUGUUAGAAGCUGAUAUCAACUUUGGAGUUUAACAUAGUAAAAGCAGAGUGACAGAGCUGAUGAACUAAUGAGCCUCUAAGUCCUGAUCCAUGUCAAGUUGGGAUUUAAUGCACCUUUGAUGGAGAAGAGGCCUCCUGUGGCCAUGGGUCUACUGGUGCUCUGGCUUGACCAGUUGCACAGGAUUAUGGGCAGGGCUGUUCCAGCUGACCCCUGUCCUACAGCCCAUUGCUGUGAUUUGUGUAGAACUCACAGCCUCUGCUAAACUCCCCUGUGUUAUUUACACAGCAUGGAAGGGUAAAAUACUGCACAUCCCCUCUCUCCUGCCUUAUCCAGUCUCCUUCCUGCAUUCUUAUUUCAAGGCCUGUUGAGAAUCUCCCAAACUUGCAUAUUUUGUGCUUGUGAAAACAAGUCAAGGUUGUUUAAGUUGCACUUCAAAACUCAUUUGUCUGAAAGAUAUGUCAGAAAUAUGCCACUGUUUUCCUAACUGAAUUUCCUAGACUCCUUCCUUUUUCUCUCUCUUUGUUCUUGGUUUCGUGAUUGCAAAAUAUAGACACAACAAAAUGAGAUUAAAUAUUGUUUAUAUCCCAUUUGAGUGCAAAGAUCCACUGAAGUUGCUGGAGGGGUGACCAGUGGUCUGGGCCAACUGUGCUGGGCAGCGAGGAGGUGGUGCGUGCUUCAGCCAGGUCCUACAAAAUGCCACUCCUCCACUUCUUUCUGUGAUGUGAGCCAUACAAUCUAGUAAAACUCUGCUACAAAAGGAUUAGGAUUAAUCCGCUAACUAAUAGCAGAGAGGCUAAACAAUAGGAAAAGAGCUAAGCAAAAAGCCACCCCAGAUUAUCAUUGUAUUUGUACUGAUCAUUGUCUGAAAUAAACAUAUCAGCCAGCUCC